rnacentral:rRNA from 1 species
UACGUAGGGUGCGAGCGUUAAUCGGAAUUACUGGGCGUAAAGCGUGCGCAGGCGGUUUUGUAAGCCAGGUGUGAAAUCCCCGGGCUCAACCUGGGAAUGGCAUUUGGGACUGCAAGGCUGGAGUGUGGCAGAGGAGACUGGAAUUCCUGGUGUAGCGGUGAAAUGCGCAGAUAUCAGGAGGAACACCGGUGGCGAAGGCGGUUCUCUGGGAAUAUCCUGACGCUGAGGAGCGAAAGUGUGGGGAGCGAACAGG